GAUAAACGCUGGCGGCGCACAUAAGACAUGCAAGUUGAACGGACUUAAUCGAAAUAUUUAUAUUUUGAAGCGGUUAGUGGCGGACUGGUGAGUAACGCGUAAGGAACCUGCCUAUUAGAGGGGAAUAACAGUGAGAAAUCAUUGCUAAUACCGCAUAUGCCAUAGAUAUCACAUGAUAACAGUGGGAAAGGAGCAAUCCGCUAAUAGAUGGCCUUGCGUCUGAUUAGAUAGUUGGUGGGGUAACGGCCUACCAAGUCGACGAUCAGUAGCCGGACUGAGAGGUUGAACGGCCACAUUGGGACUGAGAUACGGCCCAGACUCUUACGGGAGGCAGCAGUCGGGAAUAUUGCGCAAUGGAGGAAACUCUGACGCAGUGACGCCGCGUAUAGGAAGAAGGUUUUCGGAUUGUAAACUAUUGUCGUUAGGGAAGAGAAAGGACAGUACCUAAGGAGGAAGCUCCGGCUAACUACGUG
rnacentral:rRNA from 1 species